GAGAUUAGAGAGAGGUUGGAUAGUGUUAAUUUGAAAAAGGUAUAAGAGCUUUAUGCAACGAAAGGUUACCAAAUGAAAAAAAAAAAUCAGACAUGGAGAUUUACCAAAAUUCUCAGAUCUGUUAUAAAAUAGGAAACAUGGAAGAAGAGUUAAUCAGAAGUCUUCCAUGAAGUCAUAAGACUUCCAAGAAGUCUUCUAGCACAUUAUAUUUUAGAAGACUUCCAUGAAAACUUCCCAGAAGUCUUCCAGAGUCUUACCCAGAUCUGAAAAACCUGCAUAUCCAAAAAAGUUCAAAUAACUUCAAAAAUAGAAAAUGAGUGGAAGAUUAGAUAUAUCUACUUUUAUAGAACACAAAAAAAAGAUAUCCAAAAUAUAUCGAUUUACCUUUAAAUGAGUGUAAGAUGAGAACCAUGUGAUAAAAAAAAUAUGCAAAAACAAGAUAAAUUAGUGAGAAGAGACAAAAAAAAUGAAAAUUUCUUAUAAAGUUGGAUGUUUUCAAGUUCAAAGAGAUUAGAAAGAGGUUUGAAAGUUUUAGUUCGAAUCAUUACAUUUUUCGUUGCAACCAUUUGAGAGGAAAAGAGAGAAUGACAUUUUCUUUAUAUAUGGAGAUAAAAAAUUCUAUUUAGGAUAAAUAUUUUCGAUUCAGAAGUCUUUCAGAGAAGUCUUCUAUUAGAAUACUUCCUGGAAGUCUCAUGUCUCUAAAUAUACUACUCACCCAGAAUACUUCUAGGAAGUCUUCUAGACUCUAAAUUUAUACCCUAGACUUAAAUAACUAACAAAAUAGAAAAUAAACACUUCACUAAACUUAAAAUAAACUUUGAAAGUGU
rnacentral:lncRNA from 1 species